rnacentral:rRNA from 1 species
UAAUAUUAUGAGUUUUAUCCUAGCUCAGAAUGAACGCUAAUAGUAUGCUUAACACAUGCAAGUUAAACGAAAAUUAUUUCGUAGCGAACGGGUGAGGAAUAGACAGAAUGCUACCUUUUAGUUUAGAACAAAAAUAUUCUUUAGAGUGUUUGAAUACUGAAUAAAACAAAAAGGGUUAGCUUUUUAAAAAAGUGGAUUCCGCUAAAAGAUGGGUCUGUGUAGGAUUAGGUAGUUGGUAAAUUUAACAGCUUACCAAGCCAAUGAUCCUUAGUUGGUCUUAGAGGACGAUCAACCACACUGGAACUGAAACAAGGUCCAGGCUGAGUAGUCGGCCAGCAGUGAGGAAUAUUGGACAAUGAACGAAAGUUUGAUCCAGCAAUGCUAUUUGAAUGAAGACGGCUUUUUUUAGUUGUAAAGUUUUUUCGUUAAGAAUGAUAAUGACAUUAUUUAAAGAAGUUUAGUCCCGGCCAAUACUCGUGCCAGCAGCCGCGGUAAUACGGGAGGGGCGAGCGUUAUUCAACGUAACUGGGCGUAAAGGGUCCGUAGACUGUAAAAUAAGUUACUUGUUAAAUCUUAAAGCCCAACUUUAAACAAGCUUGUAAUACUGUUUUACUUGAGUUUUAUACAGAAAAGUAGAAUUUUAUACGUAAGGGUAAAAUCUAAAGAUAUAUAAAGGAAUACCAGUAGCGAAGGCGACUUUUUAGUAAAAACUGACGUUGAGGGACGAAAGUGUGGGUAGCAAAUAGGAUUCGAUACCCUCGUAGUCCAUACUGUAAACUCUGAGUGCUGUAAUUUAAUGUGAACAUAGAUGGAAUUAACUCUUUGUGAGGUAGAAUCUUCAAAUAGUUCAUUUAGAUUUUAAAGCUAACGCCGUAAGCACUCCGCCUGAGGAGUACGACCGCAAGGUUGGAACUCAAAGGAAUUGACGGGGGCUAAUACUAGUGGUGGAGCAUGUGGUUUAAUACGAUACUCCGCGCAAAACCUUACCAAUCUUUGACAUGAAAAUCGAAUUUGACAUUGCGCUUUGUAAUGUCAAUAGGAUAUUUACACAGGUGUUGCACGGCUGUCGUCAGCUCGUGUCGUGAGAUGUUUGGUUAAGUCCUUAAACGAGCGCAACUCUUAUCUUUAAUUUCAAAGUUACUUAUUUUUCAAAAACCGCAGAUUUUUGAAAAAAGCUUUAAAGACACCACCAAUGAGAAGUUGGAGGAAGGUGAGAACCAAGUCAAGUCAAUGUGACCCUUAUAGAUUGGGCUACACAUGUGCUACAAUGAAAAUUACAGAAAGUUACAAAAAAUCGAAUUUUUAGUUAAUCUCCAAAAGUUUUCUCAGUUCGGAUUGUAUGCUGAAACUCGCUUACAUGAAGCCGGAAUCACUAGUAAUCGCGCAUCACAAUGUCGCGGUGAAUAUGUCACUUGGCCUUGUACACACCGCCCGUCACAUGCAGAAAACCGGUUUUGCUUGAAAAUUUAAUUUAGUUAAGUUGAUUGAAAAAUUGAUAAUUUGGAUGAAGUCGUAACAAGGUAGCUGUACGGGAACGUGUAGCUGGAAAAAAUGAAAU